GACGAACGCUGGCGGCGUGCCUAACACAUGCAAGUCGAACGAGACCUUCGGUUCUAGUGGCGCACGGGUGCGUAACGCGUGGUAACCUGCCCUUAAGUUCGGCAUAACUCCCCGAUAGGGGUGCUAAUACCGGAUAAUGUCUUCGGACCAAAGAUUUAUCGCCUUUGGAUGGGCCCGCGUUGGAUUAGCUAGUUGGUAGGGUAAAAGCCUACCAAGGCGACGAUCCAUAGCUGGUCUGAGAGGAUGAUCAGCCACACUGGGACUGAGACACGGCCCAGACUCCUACGGGAGGCAGCAGUGGGGAAUAUUGGACAAUGGGCGAAAGCCUGAUCGAGCAAUGCGGCGUGAGUGAUGAAGGGCUGAGGGUUGUAAAGCUCUUUUACCCGGGAUGAUAAUGACAGUACCGGGAGAAUAAGCUCCGGCUAACUACGUG
rnacentral:rRNA from 1 species